CUUAACCCCUGUUAAAUUUACCUGUAUGCAAAGAUUUCACCUAAUGUUCCUAUGCAUGUGUGUGUUACAGCACACGAAUGCCGCUAACACACUGAUUCAAGUUUCACAAACAGUGGAUUCCAACCCUGUUUGUGAAACGAACAAAAGACUGAAUGGGAGACCACCCCAGAAGGUCGUGUGUCGCUCGUUAGUAAAACUGAAACAUUGUAUCCAUCCGUUAAUGAGCGUUCUGUGUGUGGCCGCCGUUCGUGUACCGAACACGUGGCGGCGGCCAUCUUUGCUUUGUUAGAGUUCAGCGGUGUUUGGUCGUCGAGUGCCUGGAACCGAAAUUGGCAAACACAGCUGGACUUUCGGGAAACUCUCUCCUCCGGGAAAAUAAAACCAUUUGCUAAAACCCAGUUGUUUUUUUCGGUUGUUUCUGCAGGGAUCAGAGCGGUACUUUGGUAUUUUGAACCGAUCGAUCCCUGCAAUCUAAUGAGGGGUCAUUCGGUAAAAUAUGUGGUGAAUUGCCAAAGUUAGUGAAUUUAAUGUAAAAUUUUACUUUUUCCUGUGCCUGUUAGUAAUGUAAUUAUCUGUGCCUGCUGACGUCAUCUAGGUCCCUGUACGGUAGGGAAUGCUGGGAAAUGAUCUUGCAUGGUCAGUUUCCCACACAGUCCCCAUGAUUAAAACCCCUGCUGUAACAGUUCAGAAACCCCUUGCAUGGGGAACAGUAUAAAUUUGGUCACUUCUCAAUAAAGCCCUCAGUUGACCUCUAAGCUAUGUGUCGUCUAGUUCUUGGGAGAAAGGGAUUGUAACUAUGCUACCUGCAUU